UCUUUUCUUUUCUAUAGAAGAGGAUUACUCUUUAAUGCGCUCAACUCCUUCACAAAUCUCUCUCUCUCUCUCUCUCUCUCUCUCUCUCUCACCACACAGCAAAACGACAGCAGAUUCCAACUCUAAUUCUCUAUUGCUGAAUUUUGAGAGUUAUAAGAGUACUAUUGUUGGAGAAUUGACGGGGUGGUGGUGGGUGAGAGAUACAAUGCGGUUGUUUCUGCGGAGUUCGAGUUCUUCUAAGGAGGUUGGAGGAAGCAAUCGUUCUCUUCUUUAUCUCAAUGUCUAUGAUCUAACCCCUAUUAACAACUACCUUUACUGGUUUGGUUUUGGAAUCUUCCAUUCCGGCAUUGAAGGUCUUCCUUCUUCAUUCUUACAAAGAAUGCAUCAACAUAACUGCUCCAGUGGCUCACCCACUCUUGGCGCUUGCUGGAGGAGUCUGCACAUAAUUUGGCAUAUUGGAUUCUGCAGCUUAGUACAUGGCUUGGAGUACGGAUUUGGAGCGCAUGAGUACCCAACGAGUGGGGUAUUUGAGGUGGAACCAAAAAGUUGUCCUGGUUUUAUCUUUAGACGAUCCAUUCUCUUGGGAAGCACAGACAUGUCUUGUUCAGAAUUUCGGUCAUUCAUGGAGCAUCUUUCUGGGAAAUAUCAUGGGGACAGUUACCAUUUGAUUGCCAAGAAUUGCAACCAUUUCACAGAAGAAGUCUGUAUGCGACUCACCGGGAAGCCUAUUCCUGGAUGGGUUAACAGGCUUGCACGAUUAGUUUCAGGUUCUUUCUGCCACUGUCUACUGCCAGAAAGUAUUCAGGCUACAGCAGUCAGACAUUUGCCCGAUCAUCUGGCGUAUUCUGAUGACAGGUCAGAUUCUGGUGGGUCAUCUGUAGAAAUAGAGAGUGAGGAGGAGCCUGAUCACCAUCUGCUGACUAUACCAAACGGAGAUGUGGCAUUUGUGAAGGAAAAACCAGUGAGGCUAGCUAAAGAUCUCCUCUGAUGUUUCAUUCUUGUCCCCUAGUAAUUCGUUGAUUUCCUGUCGUGGGUUUCUGUUGUUUGUAUGCAUCAUCUCUGGGUUGUGAUUGAACAUAUCUCCUUCAGGUUAGCUGAGCUCCUCAAGGUUAUGCUCUUGGCACACUGAUGAUCCAUGAUUUGUUUGUUGCCACGUACUCUUAUUAUAUAGGUGUGGAGCCGGAUUAGUGGAAAUUGAAUCGGAGCAUAUAAGGAUUAAUUUCGGAGAGGUCUUGGAAGAGUUGAUAAUUUUGGAGUAUCUAGAAGAUUAUUUGGAAGGCGGCUUAAGUAUAUUUUGGUGAUGUAAUUUAUUUAUGGAGAAAAUAGGGGCCUAGAAGUGUUUGAAAUACAAUGUAUUUUGGAGUUUAUUUUUAGAAAAUAGCAGGACGUUACAGGUGGAGCCUCAACCAAUUGGAAAAAAGAAAAUCAUGGUGGCAAGGUCGCCAAUUAUAUAUACUAGGGUAAAAGGCACGUGCUUCACACGAAAUUGUCAUGCUCGUUAGUUUAUUUUUGGUAAUUUUCUUUGUUUUAUAUAAUCUAUACUUUGUAUGGAUUUGAAUUUAAAGUUGAAUGUGUACGAUUAUUUCACCCAUCAAACAGUUAGUCAUGGUUUU